rnacentral:miRNA from 1 species
AAGCUGCCAGUUGAAGAG